AUUGAACGCUGGCGGCAGGCCUAACACAUGCAAGUCGAACGAGUGGCGGACGGGUGAGUAAUGUCUGGGCAACUGCCUGAUGGAGGGGGAUAACUACUGGAAACGGUAGCUAAUACCGCAUACCAUCGGAUGUGCCCAGAUGGGAUUAGCUAGUUGGUGGGGUAAAGGCUCACCUAGGCGACGAUCCCUAGCUGGUCUGAGAGGAUGACAAGCAAAACUGGAACUGAGACACGGUCCAGACGCCUACGGGAGGCAGCAGUGGGGAAUAUGGCACAAUGGGCGCAAGCCUGAGGCAGCCAUGCCGCGUGUAUGAAGAAGGCCUUCGGGUUGUAAAGUACUUUCAGCGGGGAGGCGUUACCCGCAGAAGAAGCACCGGCUAACUCCGGGCCAGCAGCCGCGGUAAUUC
rnacentral:rRNA from 1 species